rnacentral:rRNA from 1 species
GACGAACGCUGGCGGCGUGCUUAACACUUGCAAGUCGAACGGAAAGGCCCUGCUUUUGUGGGGUGCUCGAGUGGCGAACGGGUGAGUAACACGUGAGUAACCUGCCCUUGACUUUGGGAUAACUUCAGGAAACUGGGGCUAAUACCGGAUAGGAGCUCCUGCUGCAUGGUGGGGGUUGGAAAGUUUCGGCGGUUGGGGAUGGACUCGCGGCUUAUCAGCUUGUUGGUGGGGUAGUGGCUUACCAAGGCUUUGACGGGUAGCCGGCCUGAGAGGGUGACCGGCCACAUUGGGACUGAGAUACGGCCCAGACUCCUACGGGAGGCAGCAGUGGGGAAUAUUGCACAAUGGGCGGAAGCCUGAUGCAGCAACGCCACGUGCGGGAUGACGGCCUUCGGGUUGUAAACCGCUUUCGCCUGUGACGAAGCGUGAGUGACGGUAAUGGGUAAAGAAGCACCGGCUAACUACGUG